UAUUAAGCGUUUAAUUAACAAGCAUGUUGAGAAAACGAACAUAUGUCAUUAGAAAUAAAACUUCCGUUAAUUAAAAUGAAAACAAAAUCAUUUUUGUCAAGCAUUCAUCUCUACUUAUAGGUUUCUUAUAACACCAAAAUUCACGUAAAAUCGCAUAUUAUGUCAAAUUGGUGUCUAUGACCUACCAAAGUAAAAAAAAACGAGCACAUGGACUUAAUUAUAUCACCUGUUCCACUUCAGUACCCGUAGAGAAAAAUAUAUAUCGACUGUGAAUCAGUAAAUAUAAACGAUAUUUGUAUUCCUGUUAUCAUAUUUUAAUGGCCCAUCAACAGAAAACGUGGUGAAAAUACCAUAACCUUUGGUAGAAAAGGUAGUGUAGUAAAAUCAUUUUACAUACAAACAAUAUCGAUAAGGUAUAAUAUCACGCUCAAACCAUAGUUAAAACAAACUCUAUAUGAUAAGAAUAUGACAGACAUAUUCUGGAAAGUCUAACAUAUUUCUUAAAAUAGCAUCUUUUCAAAAAGAAAUUACAUAGUUUUGACUGGAUUAAGGAUCAUGCUCCACGCGUCCGUACUUACAAAAAUGUGGGAAAAAGAGGCCAUAAGGGCCUGAACGUUUAUUUUCCAGAAUUAUGACACAUGUUAAAGUGAAUAGAGUUUGUAAUUUAGCCGCCAUGACACCAAUGACGUUUCAUACUUUUUCCCAAUAUGGCAUCGUGUUAAGAUCUGACCGUGGAUAUUUCUGUGAAGUUUCAGACAUUUUGAGUUUAAGUUUAAAGCACAACUAAAGUAAACUAUAAACGACCUCACUGUCGAUAAUGUGGUAUGGAAGGGUAUUUACAACAUGGCGGACCAGGAUGAGUGAAUAAGGUAGGCCUUAACUUCAAGCUACCAGAUCAGUUGUUUGUACACGUAUUGUGCCCAUAACAAGUACCGUACUGAACUCAGAAAAAAGUCAACUUUGAAAUUAUAUUAUUGUAUUUUUGUCGUUCAGUUCCAAUUAAAAUACUUGUCAAUCCAUCGUGAAGUUUGACAAAUUGUUGUAAAUGUAAUCGAGGCGGCGUCUGUCGUGAUAAUUUGCCGAUAUCGAAUUAUUUAAAUGGUCUAAUAUCUCUCUACCUUAUCAGAAAUACUCAAUUGAGAUAAGAUAGCAUGCCAUAUACUGUUUAUGUCCACAUUAAUAUACGUUUUCGAUAAUAAUGGGUGAAAAAAAUGUUUAUGCUGGGGAUUGAUGAAACGUUAUCAAAUCCAUGUUUGUUAUCGGCAGUGACCCUAAGAGGACAUUAGUCAUGUAGGUGUUAUGUGGAUAUUGUCCAAAGAAGGACGAAAAUGUCGGAAACUCAUUUUAAAAUUUAUUCAAAUGUGAUAUCUUCUGCACUUUCCUAUCCAAGAUUCACCUAAUAAACCAUCAUGAAGUACACCUUUUUACAUUACAUAACGCUAUUUAAGUUUGUUUCGUUCUGUGAACGCGUUGUUGACGUCUUGAUCCGGCUGUUUUGCUGAACAAUUUGAUACUUUGUUUAUUUACUUUGAAAAGUAUCAAAUGUGCUGUAUCUUGUUCUGGCCUGUACAGAGAUGACGGAAUAUGAUACGGCAAUGGCAGGGCCUGUUACAAUAAGGAACCAUGUCAAUAGACAUGACACCUUUUAACAUUUUAUUUUAUUUCUAUUUACGAUCGCGUUAAUAUCAGAUUUAUUGCCGUAAUUGAAGGGCAGUUUGGUGUUCUAGGUUAACUUAUAGAAGCUAAUAAAGAUGUCCAUGAUUUUAGUAUGGGAUAUCGUUGGUGUUCCCCAUCCCGACGUUAUAAGAUUGAAAUAACGUUUUCGAACGAACUAAAUCGAUUAUUAUUGGAUUAGGACCUCUAAUGAAUAUGUUAUAUUACUUUCUUUGACCUAGAUCACUAUUUCAUUAGAUAUUGUUUUGAUAGAUUUUCAUAUUUUGGAAAUAUAUCAUUAUAUCGUUGCUAUUACAGUCGAUUACGGACUAGGCGAAACAGUUGCAGCAUAAUGCGAAAUAUGCACGAUUCAAAAUAGUAUUGCGUAAUGUUAUUAAUAUAAUAUUUCAAACAUUUUAUAUUCAUAAGAGCGGACUACCACAAAUGCAACAGGUACAAAAACAUCUCCAAAAACAUCCGAAAACAAUGUGACGUCAUCUGAAUGUAUAAAUCAAAUGCAUCAGCAAGUCUGAUACGUUCAACAUUAUCGGGUGCAACACUAACUAACAGAUAGCAACAGUGACUCAAAAGUGAUAAGCGAAACAGGAAAAAAAGUAUCUAUAUAACCUCUCCCAUAUAAAAUGUAUACACAAAUUCAUGAUUUACUAUGAGUGUUCACAUUACAAUGGCAAUUUCGCUUUGAAUCAACUUAAAUGUAUAACAGAAUUGAAUAAAAUUGUAUCAAGUAAGGAUUAUCAAUGCCAAGUCCGAACAUCUACAUUUAACAAAGUAUUCCAGUAUGAAGUUCCCAGCCAUGUUAAUUUCCAAUAGAGGUCAGCCUAGAGAUUUUGUUUACAUUAAGAAAACCACUCAUCGAUACAUGGCUUUGUGACAUCAACGUUGGUUUUCUUGGCUAUUCAUUUAACCAAAUUAAUUGAUGAUGCACUUGCCUAAUUAACCUAAAUAAUAAUAACCUCUCCCAUAUAAAAUAUAUAUAUAAAAACACGACUUACUCGGUAUGUACAAAUUACAUUGGAAACAUAAUUUCGCUUUUAAUCUACUUGAAUGUAUAACAGAAUUGAAUAAAAAUGUUUAUAGCUGUUGUAUAAAGUAAGGAUUAUCCAAUGCCAAGUCAGAACAUCUACAUGUAACAAAGAAUUCUAGUAUUAAGUAUAUCAACAAACAAGUACAGCAAGAAUAAUAAACAAUUAAAUGAUAACAUAGCUUCCAUGUAUACCACAUCCAUAUUAAAAUGUAAAACAAACUUGAAGGUUGAUUUAAUCAAUAUUUUCACCUGGUGUACACAUGAUCAAAUUGAUCAAGUUUCUACCACAAUAUGUGAGUAAUAUUCAACUCCCAAGGAAUACAAGAAUCAUAACUGUUGAAUAACAUUGUUUAUACCUCACGUGGAAUAAACGCUAAACGCGUGUUGAUUGGUUGACACGGUGACAUUUGACCCGAACUGCAAUUAUAACUAAUGUCAUCAAUAAUUGAAUGACAUCACAUUACCGGGUCCCGGCCGUCACUUGUACACCUUAUUUGCAUACGCUCAAUUAGACUUGGCCACGUCCCCCUUUGAUUCAAACCGAUACCAUUGUGUUAGAAACAGGUCAAACGACUGAUUUUUGAAUAUGGAAUUUAUUUCACACUCGUGGGUUAUUUUUUAAAA